CUACGAGUUUGAUCCUGGCUCAGAACGAACGCUGGCGGCAGGCUUAACACAUGCAAGUCGAACGCCCCGCAAGGGGAGUGGCAGACGGGUGAGUAACACGUGGGAACAUGCCCAAAGGUACGGAAUAUUCUCGGGAAACUGGGAGCAAUACCGUAUGUGCCCGAAAGGGGAAAGAUUUAUCGCCUUUGGAUUGGCCCGCGUUGGAUUAGCUAGUUGGUGGGGUAAAAGCCUACCAAGGCGACGAUCCAUAGCUGGUCUGAGAGGACGACCAGCCACACUGGGACUGAGACACGGCCCAGACUCCUACGGGAGGCAGCAGUGGGGAAUCUUGGACAAUGGGCGCAAGCCUGAUCCAGCCAUGCCGCGUGAGUGAUGAAGGCCCUAGGGUUGUAAAACUCUUUCGUGGGGGACGAUAAUGACGGUACCCCAAGAAGAAGCUCCGGCUAACUUCGUG
rnacentral:rRNA from 1 species